ACAGGGUUUUGUAUUUCUUGGUGCGGGUGUCAAUUUGGAUGUUGACUUGACUGUACACUUUGGACUGGCUUUCUUGGAUACAGAUGUAAAUGGAACUCCCAGUGAAUUAGAGAGCUUGAUGAUAUUGGAAUAUAAGGACACAUACUCGGAUGAUUUUGAGUACAGCCUUCAGAAGUAUAAACUGUUACUAG